rnacentral:rRNA from 1 species
CACGUAGGGACCAAGCGUUGUCCGGAUUCAUUGGGCGUAAAGAGCUCGUAGGCGGUUCGCUAAGUCGGGUGUGAAACCUCCAGGCUCAACCUGGAGACGCCACCCGAUACUGUCGUGACUAGAGUCCAGUAGGGGAGCGUGGAAUUCCUGGUGUAGCGGUGAAAUGCGCAGAUAUCAGGAGGAACACCAGCGGCGAAGGCGGCGCUCUGGGCUGGAACUGACGCUGAGGAGCGAAAGCGUGGGGAGCGAACAGG